GUUUGUGUAAAUGCCUAAUGGCAAAAACUGCUAUGGUGACGCCCUCACCCUCUACAUCGACCUCCCGAGCUCCAACCCCCUCAAAUUUGACCACCUCCAGUACCCAGCAUCGACAAUGACGUCAUCCUGCUCUAGCUCGCCUCCCCUUCAUGCUCUGGCACGGUCUGGUUUCUCCAGAUCGGUGGUAUGGUGGUGGUGGUGACCGUGUUGUGAUGGUGUUGCAACCUAGGUCAGGUUCGUCGUGGCCUCCCAUACCUCCACUCGGUGGUAGGCUGCGGCUAGCCCGGCCCCUACUUCGACUACGACGUCUCCCUGGACCAUGGCCUCGGUCGCCCAUCAAGGUGUUUAUAGAUGGAGAAGGAUCAUCUAAACAAUGAUGUACUAAAUUGGAGUCGGAGGUUCAGCUACAUUGAUACCCUUGCUGGAUAUGCGCCCACUAAUGAAGUUGUUGAUGCUCAAUCCAUGGAAAAGGAGCAAAGAGCAAAGCCAAAACAUGGAUUGGAUGGCAGACAUCCUCUCUUAGGAGAAGACCAAGAAAUACACACCUAGGGGAAAGAAGAGGAAAAAGGGGCGUAGGGAUAAUCUGGCAUAUUGAAGUGAGCAAGGCAGGUGAUGGCUACCGGUGCCGGGCGAGCUAGCGGGUGAGAGACCAGAGAGUAAAGGGAAGAAGGCGGCGUAUCAAAAGAUAGCGUGUGGCGAUGGCUGGCCCUCUUUGGCAUGGCUCUGAGCAUGAAAAGAAUGAAGGUGGGCUAGGAAACGAUGAGGAAUCGACAAGGUGAAUCUGACUCCUUCCAGUUUCUCUCAUUCUUUGCCUCCUUGCUGUUUUCUUUUCCCUCAUGUUGAUUUGUUGUCUGAUGCCUCUGGUUUUUGUGAAGAAUUGGACUAUGUCCUGUUCGCUGCUGCGGCAGUUUUCAUUGAAUUUGUGGUUGUGUAUGCCUUCCAUGAGUGUAUGUGUUGUUGAUGUCUGCUGCUCGUCCGCAAGGUCAGCCCCCUUGGCCUCCUCUGACCCAUGUCGGCAUCGUGGACUUCAAAAAAGAAAGUAAUCUUUUUUGUUUUGCAUGCCAUACAUCUAUACAGAUUCAAGAUAUUUUCAAAAUGGGGCUUUUGUUCAAUACUUCAUUUUCUGAAUGAUAUUGUAUUUUUCUACAGUUCCCUAGCUUUUCUUCAUAGCAGCAUCAUUGAAGGUGCUAUGAUGCAUUCGUAC